GACGAACGCUGGCGGCGUGCCUAAUACAUGCAAGUCGAGCGAAGUUUUUCUGGUGCUUGCACUAGAAAAACUUAGCGGCGAACGGGUGAGUAACACGUAAAGAACCUGCCUCAUAGACUGGGACAACUAUUGGAAACGAUAGCUAAUACCGGAUAACAGUAUUUCUCGCAUGAGAGAUAUUUAAAAGUUGGUUAUGCUAACACUAUGAGAUGGCUUUGCGGUGCAUUAGCUAGUUGGUGGGGUAAAGGCCCACCAAGGCGACGAUGCAUAGCCGACCUGAGAGGGUGAUCGGCCACACUGGGACUGAGACACGGCCCAGACUCCUACGGGAGGCAGCAGUAGGGAAUCUUCCGCAAUGGGCGAAAGCCUGACGGAGCAACGCCGCGUGAGUGAAGAAGGAUUUCGGUUCGUAAAGCUCUGUUGUUAGGGAAGAAUGGAUAUGUAGUAACUAUACAUGUAAGAGACGGUACCUAACCAGAAAGCCACGGCUAGCUACGUG
rnacentral:rRNA from 1 species